ACCAAGUAUAGGAGGUCCAGCCUGCCCAGUGACCACAAGUUCAACCCCCGCGGUAUAAUGACCGUGCAAAGGUAGCGCAAUCACUUGUCUUUUAAAUAGAGACCUGUAUGAAUGGCUAAACGAGGGCUUAACUGUCUCCCCUUUCAAGUCAGUGAAAUUGAUCUACCCGUGCAGAAGCGCGUAUAAUAAUACAAGACGAGUAGACCCUUUGGAGCUUAAGGUACAUCACUCAGCCACGUCAAGCAACUUAAUAUUUAGCAAAAACCUUGUGGAAUAUGAUAUUUUACCUUCGGUUGCUCCGACCACGGACCAAAGAAAAGCCUCCAAGUGGACUGGGAGAACUUCCUAAAGCCAAGAGAGACAUCUCUAAGCCACAGAACAUCUGACCAAACAUGAUCCGGCUACAAAGCCGAUCAACGAACCAAGUUACCCUAGGGAUAAGAGCGCAAUCCUCUCCCAGAUUCCAUAUCGACGAGGGGGUUUACGACCUCGAUGUUGGAUCCGGACAUCCUAAUGGUGC
rnacentral:rRNA from 1 species